rnacentral:rRNA from 1 species
GACGUAGGGGGCCAGCGUUGUUCGGAAUUACUGGGCGUAAAGGGUUCGUAGGCGGUGUAGCAAGUCGGGAGUGAAAUCUCUGGGCUUAACCCAGAGGCUGCUUCCGAAACUGCUGUGCUUGAGUGUGGGAGAGGCGCGUGGAAUUGCAGGUGUAGCGGUGAAAUGCGUAGAUAUCUGCAGGAACACCCGUGGCGAAAGCGGCGCGCUGGACCACUACUGACGCUGAGGAACGAAAGCUAGGGGAGCAAACAGG